rnacentral:rRNA from 1 species
CAAAGCGAACGCGGCGAACUGAAACAUCUAAGUAGCUGCAGGAAAAGAAAUCAACCGAGAUUCCCAAAGUAGUGGCGAGCGAAAUGGGAUGAGCCUGUACGUUUUAGCAUGACGCAUAACAGAAUCCACUGGAAAUUGGAGCCAUAGCGGGUGAUAGCCCCGUAUGUGAAAUGCGAUGUGUGGAACUAAGCGUACGACAAGUAGGGCGGGACACGAGAAAUCCUGUCUGAAUAUGGGGGGACCAUCCUCCAAGGCUAAAUACUC